UACGUAGGGAGCAAGCGUUGUUCGGAUUUACUGGGCGUAAAGGGCGCGUAGGCGGCAAUUCAAGUCAGCUGUGAAAUCUCCGGGCUUAACUCGGAACGGUCAGCUGAUACUGCUUUGCUAGAGUGCAGAAGGGGCAAUCGGAAUUCUUGGUGUAGCGGUGAAAUGCGUAGAUAUCAAGAGGAACACCUGAGGUGAAGGCGGGUUGCUGGGCUGACACUGACGCUGAGGCGCGAAAGCUAGGGUAGCAAACGGG
rnacentral:rRNA from 1 species